rnacentral:rRNA from 1 species
GCUGGACUUAAGCAUAUUAAUAAGCGGAGGAAAAGAAACCAACAGGGAUAUUCUCAGUAACGGCGAGUGAAGAGAAUACAGCCCAGCGCUGAAUCAUACUGCUUGCAAGAGUAGUACGACAUGUAGCGUGAAACUGGCGGCUGUUGAUGUUGUCGAUGCGUGUAAGUCUUCUUGAUUGAGGCUCAGUCCCAGAGAUGGUGCUAGGCCCGUAUCGCGCGUGACAAGUACAGCAACGCCCGCUUGUGGAGAGUCAGGUUGUUUGGGAACACAAUCUAAAGCCGGUGGUACACUCCAUCGAAGGCUAAAUAUGGCCACGAGUCCGAUAGCGAACAAGUACCGUGAGGGAAAAUUGAAAAGCACUUUGAAGAGAGAGCGAAAUAGUGCGUGAAACCGCUUAGAGGCAAGCAGAUGGAUUCUCGAAGGUGUGCAUAGGAUUUAUUUCCUAGUUCUCACGCCACCGCUGUUGUUGACGUGCACCAUACGCUGACAUUUGGACGCUUGAGAUUGGGACUCGUGCCUGCUUGAGCUGCUCGGUGUCGGACGUAUUGAGUUGAUUCGUGGCAUGCGAUAACAGAGCAGAGCAUUUGUCGUCGCUGUAAAGCGCUGACUGUGGCCGCUUGCUGAUGCAUUGUUGUUGUGGCAAGGCGCAAGCUUUGACAUGCGAUAUGUAUUGCAACUCGGCUAUUAGUACCGGCAAGACGACUUCAAGACUCGGUGGCGAGUAGACGAACUUCCAUCUAACCCGUCUUGAAACACGGACCAAGGGA